CACACAAACGCACACGAGCGAGUUGCCGGGGGUCCAUUUAUCAUAAGCAAGACUCAUCUAGGCUAGAACAAGAGCAGCAGAUGAACAAUCUUUCACUUGCUGCUGAGCUUGUCACAAAUUCAGGCAAAAUGUGAAGUUGGGUCAGCAGCACAGAGGCUGAAGGUUUGCUGUUUAGGAUUGUUUCAGCCAAACCUUUUACUGACUUAAAGGCACAGUCCGCAGGAUGACGCCGUCAGGGUGAGGAGGAGGAGAUUUUUAAAUUCGAACGGCUGUUGCUCACUCCCCCGCCCUUCCUGAAAGAGCCGAAAGCCACACCUCCCAAUGUGCACGCGCAGGAAAAGCAGAGUCAACAUCGGAGCAUUGCUUCUUGUAAUAGAGCUGAGCUAGUGUUAGCAAUGGAGUUAUCUGAGGUAAGAAAGUUGUAUUUAACCAGCACAUUAAACACUUACUGUUUACAAAAGGCAUUUUAUAAAGAAUAUCUAUAAAUAUAUUUAUAUUUUAAAAUACCAGUAACAGUUGGCAAUCUAUAUUGUAAAUAAAAUUAAUCCUAUCAAAUUGUUAGCAUUUUAUUACAACUUAUUUUUAAUUGCUUUGCCAUUCAAGAUGGGAUGAAUAUAUCAAAGCAUAUAAAUAAUUUAUGUGGAAAUCAUGAAUAAACACUGCAUUCUGUGUAGUCCUCCUAUAAUCAUGGUUGUUUUCAUAGGGUUUCUGUUUAUUGUUGGUUUAGCCCAAAUUUUGACUAGAUGUAAACCUGAUCUGUGUCAAAAUUGAUUAAUAUGCAAGAGUACUUUUUAUAUUAGUAUUUUUUUUUUAUUCUAAUACAAUUUAGAGUUCAGUGAUUGAGGAAUCCUCAGAGGAAGAGUUUGAACCUCCUAUUGCAUCCUCAAGACGUGGUGCAAAAAGGAGAUGCCCAACAUCAUCUCAAAGCCGUGGUGCAUCCAGAGGCCGUGGUGUGUCUAGAGGCCGCGGUGCAUCCAGAGGCCGAAGAAGUGUGAGACACUCAGCUGUGGACCUUGGAGAUGAUCUCUCUCGAGUUCGGAAUCUUUGUUCUGAGCGAAGACUUUGAACGUGUAAGCAUAACUGUUGCUGUAGCAUCUCUUUCCACUUUUGUAGUAACACAUACAGAACCUGAACCCUCAGCAGGCUACUGACAUCCUUACCAUGGUGCUGGACAGACACUGGUGUUCUCUUUGAUGUACUUGCCCUCUCUGGUCCACCUGCCACAACACCUCCAACACCCAAUCAACCUUCAUGGUGUGUAUGCUCCCACUGCAGAGAUAUGCCAACUGAUUUGGAAAAGAAAUGCUGCAAACAGCCUCCCCAGACAUGUAUUUCAACUGUACCACACAUGGAGGAGUUUAUUCUGCAAAAUUCCCUGACCCCAAUGGUAACUACACUGGUUUUAUUCCAAGACGAUUGUAAAUAAAUGUAUAUAUUUGAUAUUUUACAUAAGUUUGUUUUUAUAUAUUUUUGUUUGAUGCUCUAAUAAAGUGUUCUAAAGCACAACUCUGUGUUGCAUUUGUAAAAAUACCAUAAAUUUUAAAACUCCUGCACAACAACAAAAAAUUAUGUCUACCUCCAACAUUUUACAUAAAUUUUUAAAUUAUUAGUCCUUAUUUCCCCAAAAUAUAUCUUUAU